GCACUCUGGUUUCCCUUCAAAUCACGUAUAAAUCUUUCGCCUUUUACUAAAGAUUUCCGUGGAGGGGAACAAUUGAUGAGUCUGUAAACUAAUUUUUCGUAGUACCCAACGUAUGUUGGGU
rnacentral:snRNA from 1 species